GUGCCAGCCGCCGCGGUAAAACGUAGGAGACGAGCGUUAUCCGAAUUUACUGGGCGUAAAGCGCGUGUAGGCGGUUCGGUAAGUUGGAUGUGAAAUCUCCUGGCUCAACUGGGAGAGGACGUUCAAUACUGUCGGACUUGAGGGCGAUAGAGGGAGGUAGAAUUCCCGGUGUAGUGGUGAAAUGCGUAGAUAUCGGGAGGAAUACCAGUGGCGAAGGCGGCCUCCUGGAUCGCACCUGACGCUCAGACGCGAAAGCUAGGGGAGCGAACGGGAUUAGAAACCCCGGUAGUCCUAGCCGUAAACGAUGUAGACUUGGUGUUGGUGGGAUAAACUCCAUCGGUGCCGUAGCUAACGCGUUAAGUCUACCGCCUGGGGACUACGGUCGCAAGGCUAAA
rnacentral:rRNA from 1 species